GGGUUAGGGUUGGAGUUAGGGUUAGUGUUGGAGCUAGGGUUAGGGUUGGGCUUGGAGCUAGGAUUUUUCUGAGUGCAAUGAACCAACUCCCGAGUCUCUAGGAUGUUCCUAAAAAAAUUUGAUUUUUUCCCAUAGGAAUGCAUGGGUUAGGGUUAGGGUUAGGGUUGGAGCUAGGGUUAGGGUUAGGGUUAGGGUUGGAGUUAGGGUUAGUGUUGGAGCUAGGGUUAGGGUUGGGCUUGGAGCUAGGAUUUUUCUGAGUGCACUGAACCAACUCCCGAGUCUCUAGGACAUUCCUAAAAAAAUUUGAUUUUUUCCCAUAGGAAUGCAUGGGUUAGGGUUAUGGUUAGGGUUAGGGUUGGAGCUAGGUUUAGGGUUAGGGUUAGGGUUGGAGUUAGGGUUAGUGUUGGAGCUAGGGUUAGGGUUGGGCUUGGAUCUAGGACUUUUCUGAGUGCAAUGAACCAACUCCCGAGUCUCUAGGACGUUCCCAAAAAAAAUUGAUUUUUUCCCAUAGGAAUGCAUGGGUUAGGGUUAGGGUUAGGGUUGGAGCUAGGGUUAGGGUUAGGGUUAGGGUUGGAGUUAGGGUUAGUGUUGGAGCUAGGGUUAGGGUUGGGCUUGGAGCUAGGAUUUUUCUGAGUGCACUGAACCAACUCCCGAGUCUCUAGGACAUUCCUAAAAAAAUUUGAUUUUUUCCCAUAGGAAUGCAUGGGUUAGGGUUAUGGUUAGGGUUAGGGUUGGAGCUAGGGUUAGGGUUAGGGUUAGGGUUGGAGUUAGGGUUAGUGUUGGAGCUAGGGUUAGGGUUGGGCUUGGAGCUAGGAUUUUUCUGAGUGCACUGAACCAACUCCCGAGUCUCUAGGACAUUCCUAAAAAAAUUUGAUUUUUUCCCUUAGGAAUGCAUGGGUUAGGGUUAUGGUUAGGGUUAGGGUUGGAGCUAGGGUUAGGGUUAGGGUUAGGGUUGGAGUUAGGGUUAGUGUUGGAGCUAGGGUUAGGGUUGGGCUUGGAGCUAGGAUUUUUCUGAGUGCACUGAACCAACUCCCGAGUCUCUAGGACAUUCCUAAAACAAUUUGAUUUUUUCCCAUAGGAAUGCAUGGGUUAGGGUUAUGGUUAGGGUUAGGGUUGGAGCUAGGGUUAGGGUUAGGGUUAGGGUUGGAGUUAGGGUUAGUGUUGGAGCUAGGGUUAGGGUUGGGCUUGGAGCUAGGAUUUUUCUGAGUGCACUGAACCAACUCCCGAGUCUCUAGGACAUUCCUAAAAAAAUUUGAUUUUUUCCCAUAGGAAUGCAUGGGUUAGGGUUAGGGUUAGGGUUGGAGCUAGGGUUAGGGUUAGGGUUAGGGUUGGAGUUAGGGUUAGUGUUGGAGCUAGGGUUAGGGUUGGGCUUGGAGCUAGGAUUUUUCUGAGUGCACUGAACCAACUCCCGAGUCUCUAGGACAUUCCUAAAAAAAUUUGAUUUUUUCCCAUAGGAAUGCAUGGGUUAGGGUUAUGGUUAGGGUUAGGGUUGGAGCUAGGUUUAGGGUUAGGGUUAGGGUUGGAGUUAGGGUUAGUGUUGGAGCUAGGGUUAGGGUUGGGCUUGGAUCUAGGACUUUUCUGAGUGCAAUGAACCAACUCCCGAGUCUCUAGGACGUUCCCUAAAAAAAUUGAUUUUUUCCCAUAGGAAUGCAUGGGUUAGGGUUAGGGUUAGGGUUGGAGCUAGGGUUAGGGUUGGGCUUGGAGCUAGGAUUUUUCUGAGUGCACUGAACCAACUCCCGAGUCUCUAGGACAUUCCUAAAAAAAUUUGAUUUUUUCCCAUAGGAAUGCAUGGGUUCGGGUUAUGGUUAGGGUUAGGGUUGGAGCUAGGGUUAGGGUUAGGGUUAGGGUUGGAGUUAGGGUUAGUGUUGGAGCUAGGGUUAGGGUUGGGCUUGGAGCUAGGAUUUUUCUGAGUGCACUGAACCAACUCCCGA